rnacentral:rRNA from 1 species
GAACGCGAAGAACCUUACCAGGUCUUGACAUUGAUGGACAGAACUAGAGAUAGUUCCUCUUCUUCGGAAGCCAGAAAACAGGUGGUGCACGGUUGUCGUCAGCUCGUGUCGUGAGAUGUUGGGUUAAGUCCCGCAACGAGCGCAACCCCUAUCUUAUGUUGCCAGCACUUUGGGUGGGAACUCAUGAGAGACUGCCGCAGACAAUGCGGAGGAAGGCGGGGAUGACGUCAAAUCAUCAUGCCCCUUAUGACCUGGGCUACACACGUACUACAAUGGGAGUUAAUAGACGGAAGCAAUACCGCGAGGUGGAGCAAACCCGAGAAACACUCUCUCAGUUCGGAUCGUAGGCUGCAACUCGCCUACGUGAAGUCGGAAUCGCUAGUAAUCGCAGGUCAGCAUACUGCGGUGAAUACGUUCCCGGGUCUUGUACACACC